AAAAGCUUUUAACCCAGUUAAAUUAAAGUAUGAAGUACAUCAAGUCCGUAAGUGACAUAUAGGAAGCAUUUUGGAGUGGCUGUGCUGUGACAAUCAUGUGACCAUUCCAGGAUAGGGCUUUCCCAAAAUGGCUGUGUGUCAGUUCAAAGUAGACAAGACGUGGACAAUUCGUGCUGCCGUAACCCGCCCUGCUUCGCAGAGCCCGAACCGGGGCUCGAACAUUGAACCUUCGCAAUGGGAGACGAGAGCGCACCGACUGUGGACCGCGUGUUCAGCGUAUCUUCCAACGUAGAGGGAGUGAGGUUUACCAACGUACACUUGCGCAGCCUCACAGGCUAGCAUCCGUUACACUACGCAAAAAAGUGACAAGAAACAAGAGCCGAUUUUUGGAGAAAAGAAAAAAAGAAGACCAAAAAUCAGAGAAUGUGCAGGUCAGUGAAUGCUAAAUCACGAAUGUUUGGGGAUCCACUGUAAAAUGUUGUGUCUGGGUGUUAUAAAGAGACGCUCGCGCUUACGUGGGAUGUAAGACAGCAUGAUGAUGAUGAGGCAGUAGUAGUAGUCGAAGGACACGUUGUACUUGUUGGGAAGCCUCAUGGAGUACAUUCCCGACCUGCGUACGAAGGGCAACGCCGAGUAAAUGGUGAGCAGCUCGCCCGCCACCCCCAGCGGGUACAAGACGAUGAAGAGGUUGUAUC